rnacentral:pre_miRNA from 1 species
UGGCCGAUUUUGGCACUAGCACAUUUUUGCUUGUGUCUCUCUGCUCUGAGCAAUCAUGUGCAGUGCCAAUAUGGGAAA